rnacentral:rRNA from 1 species
AGUAGCGGCGAGUGAAGCGGGAAGAGCUCAAAUUUGUAAUCUGGCGUCCUUCGGGCGUCCGAGUUGUAAUCUAUAGAAGUGUUUUCCGUGCCGGACCAUGUCCAAGUCCCUUGGAACAGGGUAUCAAAGAGGGUGACAAUCCCGUACUUGACAUGACCACCGGUGCUCUGUGAUACACUUUCUACGAGUCGAGUUGUUUGGGAAUGCAGCUCAAAAUGGGUGGUAAAUUCCAUCUAAAGCUAAAUAUUGGCGAGAGACCGAUAGCGAACAAGUACCGUGAGGGAAAGAUGAAAAGCACUUUGGAAAGAGAGUUAAACAGUACGUGAAAUUGUUGAAAGGGAAACGAUUGAAGUCAGUCGUGUUCUUUGGACUCAGCCGGUUCUUCCGGUCUAUUUCCUUUGAACGGGUCAACAUCAGUUUUGUCCGGUGGAUAAAGGCAGGAAGAAAGUGGCUCCCUCGGGAGUGUUAUAGCUUUCUGUCACAUACACUGGAGGAGACUGAGG